AUGCAGAUAUCUUCUUGUGUGCUUUGCUCUGAAUUCUCGCACCUGCCCAUCGCCAUGCCGUCGUCCAUGUACGCCGCACCGCAGGCAAGCGCAAGCAACGGCGUUGGCAAUGGCGACGGCAUGCCACACGUGCUUGUUGUCCCUUACCCGGCGCAGGGUCACAUGCUACCUCUCCUCGACCUCGCGGCGCUGCUCGCCGCGCGGGGCCUCGCGCUUACCGUGGCCGUCACGGCAGGCAACGUCCGGCUCCUCGCGCCGUUCCUCGCAGCGUGCCCGUCAGUCGCCACCGUCGUUCUACCGUUCCCUUCCUCGCCGUUCCUCCCGGCCGGGUGCGGCGAGAACACCAAGGACCUCCCGGCCGAUCUCUUCCGCCCGUUCAUGGCCUCCCUCGCGGCUAUCUCCGCGCCGCUCCUCUCCUGGUGCAAGUCCCAGCCCCGCGGCGUGACGGCCAUCGUCUCCGACCUGUUCACGGGGUGGACGCUCCCGCUUGCCGAGGAGCUCGGCGUGCCGCACGUGGCCUUCUCGUGUGCCAACGUUCACUACCUCGCCACGACGCACUCCCUCUGGCGACGCAUGCCAACAAGGCGCCACCUCGACGAUGCCGACGAGAUUGUCACCUUCUCGGAGGUGCCCGGCUCGCCUAGCUUCCCUUGGCGCAGCCUGCCGUGGAUGUUCAGGGUGCAUGUGCCCGGCGACGAGGUGUCGGAGACGAUCCGGCGGAACUUCCUGUGGAAUAUAGAGAGCUCCUGCUUCGUGGCAAACUCGUUCGCGGCGCUCGAGGAGGCCUACGUGGAGCAUCCGCUCCCCGACCUGAUGGCGAAGCGGGUUUUCGCGGUGGGCGCGCUGUCGGACGCCGUGCGCAACUGCGACGAACGUGGCGGGAAGCCGGCGGUGGCCCCGGCGAAGGUGGCCGCGUGGCUGGACGGGUUCGACGACGGCUCCGUUGUGUACAUCUGCUUCGGGUCGCAGCAGGCGCUGUCGCCGGCGCAGGCGGCGUGCGUGGCCGGCGCUCUGGCGCUGAGCUCGGUGGCUUUCGUCUGGGCGGUGAGGAGCGGCACCGUCGUGCCGGAGGGGUUCGAGGCCGCAGCCACGGCGGCGUCACGGGGCAUGGUGAUCCGCGGGUGGGCGCCGCAGGUGGAGAUCCUGCGCCACCGAGCCGUGGGGUGGUUCCUCACGCACUGCGGGUGGAACUCGGUGCUCGAGGCGACCGCGGCGGGCGUGGCGAUGCUCACGUGGCCGAUGGGCGCCGACCAGUUCAUCAACGCAUCGGUGCUUGCGGAGGCCGGCGUGGCGGUGCCGGUGGCGGAGGGCGCCGACACCGUGCCCGACGCUGGAAAGAUGGCGAGCGUCAUGGCUGCAGCUGUCGCGAAGGAGGGGGAGUCCGUGAGAGAGCGUGCGGUGGAGCUCGGCCGGAAGGCGGCCGCCGCCGUGGCGGAGGGCGGAACCUCGCACAAUGAUUUGGAAGAGUUGGUGCGUGUGCUCAGUGACGUCGACUAG
rnacentral:rRNA from 1 species